AGUGAACGCUGGCGGUAGGCCUAACACAUGCAAGUCGAACGGCAGCACAGUAAGAGCUUGCUCUUACGGGUGGCGAGUGGCGGACGGGUGAGGAAUACAUCGGAAUCUACUUUUUCGUGGGGGAUAACGUAGGGAAACUUACGCUAAUACCGCAUACGACCUACGGGUGAAAGCAGGGGAUCUUCGGACCUUGCGCGAUUGAAUGAGCCGAUGUCGGAUUAGCUAGUUGGCGGGGUAAAGGCCCACCAAGGCGACGAUCCGUAGCUGGUCUGAGAGGAUGAUCAGCCACACUGGAACUGAGACACGGUCCAGACUCCUACGGGAGGCAGCAGUGGGGAAUAUUGGACAAUGGGCGCAAGCAUGAUCCAGCAUACCGCGUGGGUGAAGAAGGCCUUCGGGUUGUAAAGCCCUUUUGUUGGGAAAGAAAAGCAGCAGGUUAAUACCCCGCUGUUCUGACGGUACCCAAAGAAUAAGCACCGGCUAACUUCGUG
rnacentral:rRNA from 1 species